rnacentral:rRNA from 1 species
UACGGGGGGGGCAAGCGUUGUUCGGAAUUACUGGGCGUAAAGGGUUCGUAGGUGGCCAACUAAGCCAGACGUGAAAUCCCUCAGCUUAACUGGGGAACUGCGUCUGGGACUGGACGGCUUGAGUGCAGGAGAGGAACGCGGAAUUCCAGGUGUAGCGGUGAAAUGCGUAGAUAUCUGGAGGAACACCGGUGGCGAAGGCGGCGUUCUGGACUGCAACUGACACUGAGGAACGAAGGCCAGGGGAGCAAACGGG